rnacentral:rRNA from 1 species
UGUUUGGAGAGUUUGAUCCUGGCUCAGGACGAACGCUGGCGGCGUGCUUAACACAUGCAAGUCGAACGGAAAGGCCCUUCGGGGUACUCGAGUGGCGAACGGGUGAGUAACACGUGGGUGAUCUGCCCUGCACUUCGGGAUAAGCCUGGGAAACUGGGUCUAAUACCGGAUAUGAUCAUGCGCCUCAUGGUGUGUGGUGGAAAGCUUUUGCGGUGUGGGAUGGGCCCGCGGCCUAUCAGCUUGUUGGUGGGGUAAUGGCCUACCAAGGCGACGACGGGUAGCCGGCCUG